rnacentral:rRNA from 1 species
AUUGAACGCUGGCGGCAUGCCUUACACAUGCAAGUCGAACGGUAACAGGUCUUCGGAUGCUGACGAGUGGCGAACGGGUGAGUAAUACAUCGGAACGUGCCCGAUCGUGGGGGAUAACGAGGCGAAAGCUUUGCUAAUACCGCAUACGAUCUACGGAUGAAAGCGGGGGAUCUUCGGACCUCGCGCGGACGGAGCGGCCGAUGGCAGGUUAGGGAGUUGGUGGGAUAAAAGCUUACCAAGCCGACGAUCUGUAGCGGGUCUGAGAGGAUGAUCAGCCACACUGGGACUGAGACACGGCCCAGACUCCUACGGGAGGCAGCAGUGGGGAAUUUUGGACAAUGGGCGAAAGCCUGAUCCAGCCAUGCCGCGUGCAGGAUGAAGGCCUUCGGGUUGUAAACUGCUUUUGUACGGAACGAAAAGACUCUUUCUAAUAAAGAGGGGUCAUGACGGUACCGUAAGAAUAAGCACCGGCUAACUACGUGCCAGCCGCCGCAGUAA